AUGGGGAUUGUUCGUGAUUCUAUCUGGACAAGCGGUGGUGGUGAUUGGCUGGGUGGUGGUGUUGCCUUGGGGAGAGACAAAGUGAAGGUGACCCAGAAGUUCCCUUUCAUCAUCAUUUAUAGAGCGUUCAGAGUUCCGAGCUCUGUCGACGUCGCCAGCCUUGUGAAAUGCCAACUGGUCGUCGCUUCUUUCGGUGGUAAUUCUCGAUUCUUUGCACCCUUACAUGCAGAUUCAGAGAUGAGUGUCAAAUUCUUCAGACAAGUUCUGAGACAGAGCAAGAUCCUUACAUACUGCUUGUGUGCAGCUGACGGGAAACACGUAGAUGUUACUGGACUGCAAUUACCCGGCGUGCUGGAUGACAUGUUUGCAUACACAGGACCGCUCAGUGCGGUUUUCAGCGAGGACUCUCUGAGCCUGCACCUUUGGGCUCCUACAACACAGGUUUGGCUUCUAAAGACGACGCAUUUUACCAUCUCAAGUGUCGCCUCCGGAUGUGAGUGUGUGGUUCUUAGAUGGUCCGCAGGCCCUGCUCUAGAGAUGGUGCAGCUCAAGGAGUCAAAUGCACAAAUUCUGAAAUGUUUAGCUGGUGACCUUUAUGCUAGAGGCCUUUCUGCAAAUGGACCGUGGACCUGGUUGGUUGACAUUAACGAUGAAACAUUGAAGCCAGCUUCCUGGGAUGAAUUGGCCGAUGAGAAGCCAAAACUUGAUUCCUGCUCUGACAUAACCAUCUACGAAUUGCACAUUCGUGAUUUUAGGCCUCAGCAGGAAUGUUUGACUCAUGUGCAUUUGUUGCCAAGCUUUCAUUUUGCUGGCGUUGACGACAUUAAGAGCAACUGGAAAUUUUUCGGUAUGACUCUGUGCUUUGGAAGGUUCCAAAAGGAAGUUAUGCAAGUGAUUUCAUCAGGAAAGAGAUGCAGACGAGAGGAAGAGACCUCCCCCAAGCUCUGUCUAGGCGAUGCACGGGCGACGGCCACCCUUCCUAUUAUUGCCUCCAUGGCUGACUGA
rnacentral:rRNA from 1 species